GCUUUUCUUUUUGUUUGUUUUAUUUGUGUUUAAAAGUCAGUGACUGUGUCUGUCAGUCAGUAAGAGUAAGUGUUUCUGCCAGUGACAGUGUGUGUGUGUGUGUGUCAGUAAGAGUAAGUGUGUCUGCCAGUUCGUGUGUAAGCCAAGAGUAAGUGUGUCUGUAUGUCUGUCAGUGUGUCAAAUCAAUAAGUGUGUGUCUGUCAAGCAAGGAGUGUGUCUCUAUCAGUCAGUGAGUGUGAGUCAAAUCAGUAAGUGUGCGUUUGUCAGUAUGUCUGUG